GAAAAGAACACAGUAUACUAAUUAUUUUGUGAACGAAGGGAAAGUACCGUGGCAAAAUAAUAUGAUUUUUUAAAAAGGCGGAUUGGCGCAUGCCUUUGUGUUUAUAAAAUUCUGAAGUGAUAUCCCACAGACACACAUGUUCUCUAUACAAAGAAACAAACAGAAGAGUUUGGUUUUCAGUUAAUUUCAUUGUUAGGAAUUAGCUAUAGAACUCCACAAAAAACAACAAUGCGUGUUCACUGU